AUAAUACUUCCUCCGUUCCAAAUUACUCGUCGCAGAAAUGGAUGUAUCUAGAACUAAAAUACAUCUAGAUACAUCCAUACCCGCGACAAGUAAUUCAGAACGGAGUGAGUAUCUU
rfam:Triticum urartu cultivar G1812 contig673958, whole genome shotgun sequence.